UCUUAAAAAAAAUUUUGUUUUUUUUUGUCCGAAAAAAAAAUUAAAAAUGAACCAAUCAUGGACCGCCAUGUGUCAGUGGGAUCCGUGAACAACAUGAAACCAACAAAAGUCGAUCCUUAUUUGGUUACUUUUGUUACCGAUUUUUAGCUGAAUUAUGGAGCCCACCACUAUUUUUUAUUUGUAAAACCAUUUUAGAAACUUGGGAUAAAGAUGGCCUAACAUAGUACCAAAAAAAAACUAAAUAUUAGACUAACCAGUAUUUUAUUUAAUAACUAUGAGUAAGAAAUGAAAUUAGUGAAAAUUGUAGAUGUGACCAGAGAACUGAUAUAAUACGUCAGAGAGACGUUUUAUAGUAUUAUUUAAUUUAUUGAUACGAGUGUUAAAUUAUAUGUAUGGUACUAAUGGUAGCAUAGCUAUACUUUCACGUAUCUGAAUCAUUUAUAAGUUAAUAUCAUUAUUCAUUGAUUAUUUCGAUAUUUUUAUAUGUUAGCUGAUAUUUAAUUUUAUAUUUAUCGGCUAUAUUUUUUCAUCGAAACAAAACUUAAAUUAUAUUUAUGUAUGAUAAUAUUUGUGACUAAAGAAAUUAUAUAUGGUGUAUGAAUUGCUGAACGUAAAAAUUUAUGUGCUCGGCUAAACAUAAAAUUAAAUUUAAGGUUUCGGUCUUACCUUGCUCUCGGAGGACCAUCGUGAUCACAUUCUCAAUAAGGCUCCGUUCGUAGGAUCUUAAACCUUUUUUAAAGGCUGAGCUUUAUGUUGGUUUCACAUUUGUUAUUGUUUCUGUUUAUUAGCAGGUUUGGACUUAAUUAUAUAAACCCAAAAAAUCGGGUUUUUUGGAUUUAGUCUAUUUGGACUUUAAUUGUUUUGAGCUUAAGCUUGUUUGGGUUUGGAACUGUCCAAAAACCGAAAAUCUAUACUUUAAUUUAUUUAAGAGAAAUUGCAUCUCAUGUACAAAGAUAUCAGCAUAAUUUGUAGUCAUGGAACUGAACUUUUUUUGCUGAUGUGUUCUUUCAUAAUGGCCAUCUUACCCAUAUAGUUCCUAUAACACGACCUACACUAUUCAAAACCCCUACACCUUCUACUACACGUGCGAUUAAACUUAUGAGGCGAGAGAGAGAGAGUUACUUUUUAUUCAAUAUUAUCUCUAUUAGGCAUGCGAGUUCGGUUUCAUCGGCUCGGGUGUUAUGUUUCUUCGGUUACUUCGGAAUCAGAAAAGACUAUCGAAUUAAACCAAACAAAACUUCAGUUCGGUUCGGUUCGGAACCGGUUAAUUCGGUUUGUAAAUCUUGUUGCCGAACUUCAUCAACAUCCAAAUCAAUAUCAACAUCCAGAAACCAAAACUCACUCCAAAAUUUUGUUAAGUACCUUAUAUCCAUACAAGUUAACAGGUUAGAUUGUUAAACUAACAAAAAAGGAAGAAACCUAGAGGAAAAAGAAGUGGGAGAUGGAUUUAGAGAAUUUGAUAUGUGUUAAUCGAACCAGAGAAAAAAAAUGAAGCAACAGAGGAAUACAGAGGAUGAGAUGAGAUGAUGAAAGAGAUGGAAAGAGAUGAUGUGAAUAUAGAGACACGGCGAAGGAUACGGCGUGAAGGAGGAGAGAGGCUAUAGAGAAUGAAAUGGAUAUAAUGUAAAUUAGGUUUAGACAAGUGACAAUGCUUUUUUUUUUAAGUUCGGUUAACCGUUCGGUUUUAUUGAACCAAACCAAAAUAACCGAUAACCGAAUGCAAUUAAAUAUAUUGCCGAUCGGUUUAUGUCUUUAUCUUAAUUCAAACCGAACUAUUUAAAUAUCGGUUCGGUUCGGUUCAAAAAUUUCGGUUUGGUUUAUAAUCCCAGGCCUAAUCUCUAUGGUUUCUCUCAUACCAUUUCAUCGCUCAUUGUUCCAAAAUUACUUCGUCUUCUCCGUCAUAACCCCAGUUUCAAAUUGUUUAAAGGCUCUCGUGAUUCCGUAUAUACGUUUGUUCAUGCCACUUUUGUUCCGUUUAUUUCUUGCUUCUUCUUUCUAAAAUCCUCUGUUUUCUAUCUAUUGCCGCGUCUGAAUGUAGGUCAUCACCGUCAAGCUUAUCCAUUCACGGUGGUGCUUCACCUUCCACCUCUGCUUACGUCGAAUUCGAGAACGUCGCGAGAUUUACACAUUGUACUCCUUCGUCAACCGAUCUUUAGUCGCCUUGCUCUACUGACAUCGUUAUGUUCGGAAUCAAGCCUUGCCGUCGUGCUCAUCCUUGUGGUCUUCAUCAAGCUCCAGAUCCAGCGAAGAGAAAGAUUUACAGAAACAUCCUCGCGAAUCAACCCGGAAUCUUUCAAUCGUGCGAUCUAGCCAAGUGGGUCAUUCGACAGUUACAUAUUUUAUUAGACGAUUACAUAUUUUGUUAGCAAGCUAUAUGAGCACCAAAUAUAAUAGACGGUUAGAUAUUUUUUAUUAGACGGGAUGGAUAACGUUGUUAGCAAGCUAUGUGAACAGACUACAAAUGAUAAUAAUAGUAAAUAUUAGUGUAUUAUUAUUGUUUUCGAGAAUUUUCCAGUUUGUACUAUUUUUAAAACGACAGCUAAUAAAAGUGUUAGUUGUACUUAAAAACCUUUAUCCAGCCAACAGUUAUUUAAAUCAUAGGUAAUAUUAUUUGAAAUAUUUACCCUGAGAGACACAAGUUGAGUUUACAAUAUAACUAAAGGACACAUUGUUUACUGAGCACACUUUAUCAUGUUAGUUUUACUAAGAUGACCCUCAACCAAGUGACAUCUUCAAGUAACUAGACAUCUCAUCCUACUAACCAAACUCGUUACCCAACCCAACUAACCAAAGAGAUUCCUAACCAAAACCGAAAUCUGAUUUUAUCUUUUUACAAAAUCGAUAACUUUUUAACUUUUUUACAAAACCUUAUCUCUUCUUCUUUCUUCACAAAUCCAUCGCCGGUGAGAUGAACCCUAAUUUCUUUCUCCCCGAUUGUUUCUAGAUCCAGAAAUCAAAACCUGAAAUUGGAUCCAAAUAUCAACUUUCGGAACCCACGUCUCUUCCAUUGCUCAUCUGUUCUACGAAUCUGUAUUUGGGUUUUCGCGUUUUCAUCGUGAGCGAUCUCUGUAUCCAAGCCUCGGAAAUCUGGACAGAUAAAAUCCAAAUAGAAGGUUAGCUCCCCCUUCUUAAACCACUUGAUUCUGUAUGUGUGUAACGUGAGUGUGGAUACAAUGGUGGUGGUUGGUGGAGGUGGCUACUCGAGUGGAGGAGAUGGUGGUGGAUACGGUGGAGGAAGCGAUGGAUACCGCAGUGGAGGCGGUGGUGGUUAUGGAGGUUGUGGUGUAAGACGUGAGGGUAGUUACGGUGGUGGUGUAAGUGGCUCCACGCGUCUCCCGUCCACGCAUCUCAUGUCCACGCGUCUCCCGUCCACGCAUCUCUCAUCCACACAUUUCCCGUCCAUGCAUCUUUUUUUUGUCCACAAUGAACUUCCAUUUGACUCAGGAACCACAGAAUCAUUCUCUACAUAUCACCAAACACAUCUCAGCCAUCUGCACUUAAGAAACAAAAUAAUCAAAAUCAUGAAAAUUUUAUCCCCUAAGACACAGUCUAUGUUACCAAUUACCUUUAGAGGCACAUUGUGUUGGGAGAACAUUUUUCCAUAUCAAUUUGUUCAAUAUUUUGUACAUGAUACUUAGGCUCGUAAAUCAAAUAUACGAUGUCCACGAUAACGUAUCGACAUUAAAUCUGAACUCUAACAUGAUUUUCCUAUGCACAACAAUUUGUCCACCAUAAACACAUCCACAUGAUUUUUGUCUACCAAAACAUAUAUCCACCAAUAGAUUAUCCAUGAAAUUAAUGUUCAUUUAUUGCAAACAACCAGAAACGUCCAAGUUAUGUUUGGUUUAUUUUUUUAAAACAAACAAAUUUCUCGUUAGCUUCAAGAAGGGGCAUUUUCGCCUCAAAAUGGAAAGACCCUACACAUAAAGUGUGUUAAAGACACAAUGUGUCUUUGUGAGUAAAGAAAAGACAAAAUGUGUCUUCCCAUGUAAGUAUCUCUAUUAAUUUUAGCUGAAUAUAUGAAUGCUUGUACAUCCAAUAAUCCAUACACCUAACAUUAAUGUCAAUUUCCUCUUUUUAAAUGCACAUUCUCUAUAACAAUAUUGUACAUACGGAAUGGUUAUAACCAAACCCUUCAUACUGAAUCUACACCGGUCGCCUCAAUAAACAUUUCAUAUGUUCCAUAGAAAAGACUGCAUUUCACAUGUUAGAUUGACCAACUAAUAUGAAAAUAUUAUUCUAAAAAUUUCUCAUAAAAAAAUGUACACAUUUAAAUAUAAAAAUAGCCAAUAAAAAUUUACUAUAAACAAUCCUACAAAAUUGUAUCACACCCUAUUGACAACUAAUAUUGUUCUUAGCUGAAAAUAGAAUGUUUUAUCUGGCCAAAUUUUUUGAGUUAUGAGUGUAUAUCUGAUGGAGGUUUUUUACAAACAUAUAAGGAGCAAGUGUUUUAGAUGAUUUGAGAGAUCUUAGCUUAUCUUUUUUACAACAAACAUUUUAGAAGCCGGAUAAUAGGUUUGUUAGCAGAAAAUAUUAUUAUUAUAUGACUAUUCUAUAUUUAUCUUUGACAAUAUUUAUUUUAAGUAAUAUUAGUUAUAUAUAGGUGUUUUGUAUAUGAUUAAGCAUCUAUUGUAGUCAUUUAAUUGUUUAAAUCUUUCAUUUAGUCGUCAUUGGGAGUUGCAUAUAUACAUUUUGCAUACACAUAGGUUUGGAGUACACAACCAGAAGUUUUGGGCAAAAAAAAUGAGGAGAAAUCUUCACUAUUGUAAUGUUAGGGGUCAAAACCGAAAAUAUGCAAAAGAGCAGAGAACAGUUUUGCAAAAACAACAGAAAUGGAUCCUCAGCUGCAAUAUCCAAAAGGUAUACGUACUCGUGUAAUAGCCAUAAGGUAUCGUUGUUUAAUGCUACUGUAUUGGUCAGCCUUGGAUGGAUAUAAUUAGACCAGCUCAGGCUACAUGAAUGUUUACACUUUUUGUAUAUAGAUAUUAAUUAAUGAUUACAUGCAUGUAAUAAUUAGAAAACUCUCACUCUAUUCUUACCUGAACGAAACAAGGAGUAGGGUCCCCGUGGUGUUUCCGCAGUGUCUGGAGAUAGGCCUGACGUAUGGGCUUUCGUUUUUUCCAUCUCCGCAAAUUAUCAAAUCUUUAUGUAAUUUCUGUGCAAUUCGCUCUUAAUUUAUUUAAUUACU